UACGGAGGAUGCAAGCGUUAUCCGGAAUGCUUGGGCGUAAAGCGUCCGCAGGUGGCUGUGUAAGUCUGCUGUCAAAGAGCAAAGCUCAACUUUGUAAAGGCAGUGGAAACUACACGGCUAGAGUGCGUUCGGGGCAGAGGGAAUUCCUGGUGUAGCGGUGAAAUGCGUAGAGAUCAGGAAGAACACCGGUGGCGAAGGCGCUCUGCUAGGCCGCAACUGACACUGAGGGACGAAAGCUAGGGGAGCGAAUGGG
rnacentral:rRNA from 1 species